ACACCUCAACUCUCAUGGUUUGCCAUGAUGAGCUUGGACUUUGGGGGUCUUGCCGGCCUGUGGGUCGGCUCCUCUCAAAUGAAUCAGCUUGCCGGUGUUUGGUGGCGUCACAGGUGUGAUAACUAUCUACGCUUGUGGUUUUCCAUCAGGUAACCUUCAGUGAUGGAGGUUCGCUGGGGCUCAUAAAUGUCUCUCCUCAGUGAGGACAGCUUUUUAAC
rnacentral:misc_RNA from 1 species